AGGGUUCGAUCCUGGCUCAGGACGAACGCUGGCGGCGCGCCUAACACAUGCAAGUCGAACGGAGCUAUUUUGGAAGAACCCUUCGGGGGGACUCUGGCUUAGCUUAGUGGCGGACGGGUGAGUAACACGUGAGCAACCUGCCUCUCAGAGGGGGAUAACGUUUGGAAACGAACGCUAAUACCGCAUAACAUAUCGAGGCCGCAUGGCUUUGGUAUCAAAGGAGCAAUCCGCUGAGAGAUGGGCUCGCGUCCGAUUAGAUAGUUGGCGGGAUAACAGCCCACCAAGUCGACGAUCGGUAGCCGGACUGAGAGGUUGAUCGGCCACAUUGGGACUGAGACACGGCCCAG
rnacentral:rRNA from 1 species